rnacentral:rRNA from 1 species
AUUGAACGCUGGCGGCAGGCCUAACACAUGCAAGUCGAACGAGUGGCGGACGGGUGAGUAAUGUCUGGGAAACUGCCUGAUGGAGGGGGAUAACUACUGGAAACGGUAGCUAAUACCGCAUACCAUCGGAUGUGCCCCGAUGGGAUUAGCUAGUAGGUGGGGUAAAUGCUCACCUAGGCGACGAUCCCUAGCUGGGCUGAGAGGAUGACCAGCCACACUGGAACUGAGAUACGGUCCAGACUCCUACGGGAUGCAGCAGUGGGGAAGAUGGCACAAUGGGCGCAAGCCUGAUGCAGCCAUGCCGCGUGUGUGAAGAAGGCCUUCGGGUUGUAAAGUACUUUCGGUCGGGAGGCGUUACCGACAGAAGAAGCACCGGCUAACUCCGUGCCAGCCGCCGCGGUAAUUC